GACGGCAUAGCUCAAUGGUCAGAGCAUCGGACUUCUGUCUUACAUGUCCUGGGUCCACCAUUAAUUUGGUUAGCCAGUCGACAGGAGUUCAUCUGAAGGUUCUCGGUUCAAGUCCGAGUGUCGUCU